GGGGCUAUAGCUCAAUUGGCUAGAGUGCUUGCAUGGCAUGCAAGAGGUUAGGGGUUCAAAUCCCCUUAGCUCCA
rnacentral:tRNA from 1 species